UGGGGAAUCUUGGACAAUGGGGGCAACCCUGAUCCAGCGACGCCGCGUGGGUGACGAAGGCCUUCGGGUUGUAAAGCCCUUUUGCCGGGGACGAUGAUGACGGUACCCGGAGAAUAAGCACCGGCUAACUCCGUGCCAGCAGCCGCGGUAAGACGGAGGGUGCUAGCGUUGUUCGGAAUUACUGGGCGUAAAGGGCGCGUAGGCGGCCGCUUAAGUCGGGUGUGAAAGCCCGGGGCUCAACCCCGGAACUGCAUCCGAGACUGGGUGGCUGGAGACCGGGAGAGGAGAGUGGAAUACCCAGUGUAGAGGUGAAAUUCGUAGAUAUUGGGUGGAACACCGGUGGCGAAAGCGGCUCUCUGGCCCGGUUCUGACGCUGAGGCGCGAAAGCGUGGGGAGCAAACAGG
rnacentral:rRNA from 2 species